rnacentral:rRNA from 1 species
UACUCGAGCGGCGAACGGGUGAGUAACACGUGAGCAACCUGCCCCUGACUCUGGGAUAAGCCCGGGAAACUGGGUCUAAUACCGGAUAUGACCACUCCAGGCAUCUGGUGGUGGUGGAAAGUUUUUCGGUUGGGGAUGGGCUCGCGGCCUAUCAGCUUGUUGGUGGGGUGAUGGCCUACCAAGGCGACGACGGGUAACCGGCCUGAGAGGGCGACCGGUCACACUGGGACUGAGACACGGCCCAGACUCCUACGGGAGGCAGCAGUGGGGAAUAUUGCGCAAUGGGCGGAAGCCUGACGCAGCGACGCCGCGUGGGGGAUGACGGCCUUCGGGUUGUAAACCCCUUUCAGCAGGGACGAAGCUAACGUGACGGUACCUGCAGAAGAAGCGCCGGCUAACUACGUGCCAGCAGCCGCGGUAAUACGUAGGGCGCAAGCGUUGUCCGGAAUUAUUGGGCGUAAAGAGCUCGUAGGCGGUUUGU